rnacentral:rRNA from 1 species
AGUGAACGCUGGCGGUAGGCCUAACACAUGCAAGUCGAACGGCAGCACAGUAAGAGCUUGCUCUUACGGGUGGCGAGUGGCGGACGGGUGAGGAAUACAUCGGAAUCUACUUUUUCGUGGGGGAUAACGUAGGGAAACUUACGCUAAUACCGCAUACGACCUACGGGUGAAAGCAGGGGAUCUUCGGACCUUGCGCGAUUGAAUGAGCCGAUGUCGGAUUAGCUAGUUGGCGGGGUAAAGGCCCACCAAGGCGACGAUCCGUAGCUGGUCUGAGAGGAUGAUCGGCCACAGUGGGACUGAGACACGGCCCAAACUCCUACGGGAGGCAGCAGUGGGGAAUCUUCGACAAUGGACGCAAGUCUGACGGAGCAACGCCGCGUGAGUGAAGAAGGCCUUCGGAUUGUAAAGCUCUUUUGUUAGAGAAGAACAGCAGAAAGAUUAACCGUUAUGGGUGUGACGGUAGCUAAAGAGAAAGCCACGGCUAACUACGUG